rnacentral:rRNA from 1 species
AAAGUCAGAGGUGCGAAGGCGAUCAGAUACCGCCCUAGUUCUGACCAUAAACGAUGCCAGCCAGCGAUCCGGCUGUGUUCCUCAAAUGACACGCCGGGCAGCUUCCGGGAAACCAAAGCCUUUGGGUUCCGGGGGGAGUAUGGUUGCAAAACUUAAACUUAAAGGAAUAGACGGAAGGGCACUACAAGGAAUGGAGCCUGCGGCUUAAUUUGACUCAACACGGGUAAUCUCAUCUGGUCCGGACACAGGAAGGAUUGACAGAUUGAGAGCUCUUUCUUGAUUCUGUGGGUGGUGGUGCAUGGCCGCUCUUAGUUCGUGGAUUGAUUUGUCUGGUUAAUUCCGUUAACGAACGAGACUCUAGCCUAUUAAAUAGACGAUCCGAUCCAUGACGUCGGACGCUCUUCUUAGAGGGAUAAACGGCUUUUAGCCGCACGAGACGGAGCAAUAGCAGGUCUGUGAUGCCCUUAGAUGUCCGGAGCCGCACGCGCGCUACAUUGAAAGAAACGGCGUGUGCUUUCCCUGUCCGACAGGACUGGGUAACCCCAUGAAAUUCUUUCGUGAUGGGGAUAGAAACUUGAAACUGUUUUUCUUGAACGAGGAAUUCCUCGUAAGCACGAGUCAUCAACUCGUGCUGAUUACGUCCCUGGCCUUUGUACUCACCGCCCGUCGCUGUUACCGAUAGAGCGAUUUAGUGAGGUGUUCGGACUGGCGCCCGGAGCGGCCUUCGCGGGUCACGCGCCGAGGUGCCGGAAAGAUCACCGAACUUGACCGCU